rnacentral:lncRNA from 1 species
GGAUUCAUUUCGCAACACCUACGGCUUCCACUAGAUGUCAACGAUCUUUAUAAAGUUGUUUGAAGCGUCUAUGAUAAACAGAGAGCAAAUUAGAAUCCAAGGAAGUUGACAUGUCAUCACUUCAUUUUUUGCGCCUGCGCAUAAAUCUGAGAGACGUGAGUUUGUCAUCAUUUUUUAUCUAGACAUAGGAUAGGUUGUGUGAAAAUAUUACUGAUGUUUAACGUUAAAAAUGGACCAAAAGAUUAAUGCUAAACAACAUUUGACAUGUUUGAACGAACAUAAAUAGAUUAUUUACUAGGUUUUUUUAGCUUUUCGGCGUGAUUUUACCAGCCCCACACCACGUUUUGUGGGAGCAUAAUGAACGCUAAGUACUUGGUGUUAUUUGGACAUAAAUUAUGAACUUUGUCAAAAGAAACCACAUUUGUUCCGGACCUGGAAUGCCUUCCGGACCUGGGAUCCUGCCUUCUGAUGGAGAUAAUCAAAGACACACUAAAAGAGGACAAACGAGCUGUCAGGCCUGCUGGCCAUGUGACCUCUAAGUGCUUUGUCCAUUAUUACAUUGGAUGUUACAGAAGAUGUGCUUGACUGAGCAUUGAUUAACCUCUGCAUUGGAAGGGAGAUUCAUGAGGCUGUUACGAACCGGCUCUGAGUUCGCAACAAAAGGGAGACAACGUGGAGACAAGGGGUAUCAAAAUAUCUAUUUAUUAACUAAAGUAACUAAAUAAUUAACAAUGGCGUGUGUGUAAUCAGUAAUCAGUAGUGUAAGUGAGUGUUUUGCAUACCUGAAUGUAAUAAUGCAGGGUGUUGAAAGGUGCCAAAGCAAAUAACCAAAAAAGCCACAAAACUACACAACCAAAAUCAACAAAGUGUCUGCAUGGAGAGAGUCCUCCCAAUAACUGUGGAAGAGGUCUCUUUAUCCUGGGACACAGCUGGGCCCAGGUGCUUCCCAUUUAGCUGACGACCCUUCCAACUCCGCCCACCGGCAUCCUAACAAGGAAACAAGAACAGAGAGAAUACGGCAGACAGAGUGG